rnacentral:lncRNA from 1 species
GAAAAAGGCCCCCUUACUCUCUACACAGAAGCUCCUUAACUGAACUGCUAUAGCCUGGCAUGCUUUGAAUGCAGAACAAUGCCUUCCGACCAAAAGGCAGGAAUGUGGGACACAGUGAAGUACUUUGGCCUGUAGCUGAUUGCAAGAGCCUUCAGGAAAGCAUAAGAAUAAAAUGAUAACUGUCUGUGAAUGACAAAAGACUUAAAGUGGCCAUGGUUGAAGAUCUGAUGAGAGUUCAUUUUAACUCAACUGACAAGGAAAUUUUGUUGCUUCUGUGACAUCCAACAUUUUAAGAUAAUAAGUAGAAUUAUGACUGAUAACAUUAUACCAGGACACGUCAUGAACGGCAAGCUGCGACUUCACCGUGUGGCCCCAGGUGUGCUGUGUAUCCUCCGUGAUCUCUUAACCAUGGAUGCAAGAGGCAUCUCCAAAGAGAGUGCAAAAGAUGCAGCCACACGAUCCAGAGUCACUCCCACAGACAGCCGCAGAAGACAGAUGUCAAUGAACACCCUGAGAGCUGGCAACAAUCAAUGAGAUGGCAGCCACAAUAUUUCUGUUCAGCUAACUACAAAUUUUGGGGUCCCCCAACCUGAUAGUUGGCUGCCUAUAGAUGCAGCCCUGACAACCCGGUGCCCCCGGCAGGCAGAAAGUCAAAUCAAGCUUUCAGACAUAAAAUGAGGCAAACAGGAAAGCAAUGGCUGUCCCUGGGAAAGAAAGAAUCAAUGACCCAUGAGUACUCAAGACCAAGAGUCACCCAAGAGUAAUACCCAAAGAAGUAGAUCCUUCCAGUGUUUUCUCCUGGACGAGGAGCGCUCUUACUGCCCUCAUCUGAUCAGACUCCAAGCAAAAUUCCGAGAGGCUGACUUGGCCCUUGAUUUAUAGGGUCCCCGUGGACGGAAGCUUUCCCCCCGUCAGCGGGUCUCCACUGAAUCAGCGGCAGGAGUCCUGAAUGAUCCCCCGGUCGCGUGGCCCCUCCCCUGCUCCUUCCUGACCCGCGCCGCAGCAAUCGCAGACUCUAGGGGAGGGAGCGAUGUUCUCUCCUACCGUUCCG